rnacentral:rRNA from 1 species
GACGAACGCUGGCGGCGUGCUUAACACAUGCAAGUCGAACGAAGUGGCGAACGGGUGAGUACCGCGUAAUCAACCUGCCCUUCAGAGGGGGACAACAGUUGGAAACGAAUGCUAAUACCGCAUACUGAAGGAGGGGAUUGCGUCUGUUUAGCAAGUUGGUGGGGUAACGGCCUACUAAGGCGUUGAUCAGUAGCCGGUCUGAGAGGAUUAACGGCCAAAUUGGGACUGGGACACGGCCCAGACUCCUACGGGAGGCAGCAGUGGGGAAUCAUCCGCAAUGGACGAAAGUCUGACGGAGCAACGCCGCGUGAGUGAUGACGGCCUUCGGGUUGUAAAGCUCUGUUAAUCGGGACGCGGUACCGGAAUAGAAAGGCACGGCUAACUACGUGCCAGCAGCCGCGGUAAUAC